UUUUUGUUAUUGAUAUAAGGUCAGGCCUGCCCAAUGAUAAUUUAAAUGGCUGCGGUAUUUUGACCGUGCAAAGGUAGCAUAAUCAUUAGUUUUUUAAUUGGAAGCUGGAAUGAAGGGUUUAACGAGAAAAGAACUGUCUUAAUUUAAUUUUUUGAAUUUUAUUUUUGAGUGAGAAGGCUUAAAUGAUUUUGAGGGACGAGAAGACCCUAUAGAAUUUUAUAAUUCUAAUAUUUUGGGGGUGUGGUUUAGGAUUCCCAAUUUAGUUAUGGAUUAGUUUGUUGGGGUGAUGGAAAAAUUUGAAUAACUUUUUUUUUAUAGGUUUCACUGAUAAGUGAAUGUUUGAUCCAUUAAGAUUGAUUAUAAGAAAAAAUUACCUUAGGGAUAACAGCGUAAUUAAUCUGGAGAGUUCAAAUCGAUAGAUUAGUUUGCGACCUCGAUGUUGGAUUAAAAUUGGCUUUUGGUGAAGGGAUUAAUAAGCUAAGUCUGUUCGACUUUUAAAAUUUU
rnacentral:rRNA from 1 species